CACAUGCAAGCCGAGCGGUAGAGAUUCUUCGGAAUCUUGAGAGCGGCGUACGGGUGCGGAACACGUGUGCAACCUACCUUUAUCCUGGAGAUAGCCUUUCGAAAGGAAGAUUAAUACUCCAUAAUAUAUUGAUUGGCAUCAAUUGAUAUUGAAAGCUCCGGCGGAUAGAGAUGGGCACGCGCAAGAUUAGUUAGUUGGUGAGGUAACGGCUCACCAAGACGAUGAUCUUUAGGGGCCUGAGAGGGUGAUCCCCCACACUGGUACUGAGACACGGACCAGACUCCUACGGGAGGCAGCAGUGAGGAAUAUUGGUCAAUGGGUGCAAGCCUGAACCAGCCAUCCCGCGUGAAGGACGACUGCCCUAUGGGUUGUAAACUUCUUUUGUAUAGGGAUAAACCUACCCUCGUGAGGGUAGCUGAAGGUACUAUACGAAUAAGCACCGGCUAACUCCGUG
rnacentral:rRNA from 1 species